GACGAACGCUGGCGGCGUGCUUAACACAUGCAAGUUGAACGGGGAUAAUGAUUUCGGUUGUUAUCCUAGUAGCGGACGGGUGAGUAACGCGUGAGUAACCUACCUUUGUGAGGGGGACAACAGCUGGAAACGGCUGCUAAUACCGCAUAAGGCCACGACCUCGAGUGAGGAUGUGGUAAAAGAUUUAUCGCACAGAGAUGGACUCGCGUCCCAUUAGCUAGUUGGUGAGGUAACGGCUCACCAAGGCGACGAUGGGUAGCCGACCUGAGAGGGUGAUCGGCCACACUGGAACUGAGACACGGUCCAGACUCCUACGGGAGGCAG
rnacentral:rRNA from 1 species